rnacentral:lncRNA from 1 species
UGACAAUGGAAGGGAGGGAAGCCAGGGUUUGAACAGCAGCAACAGUUACAGAGAUAACCCAUGGGCUCCUGAGAGCAGAGAUUGUGACUUACUCAUCUUUGAUGUAGCCAAGUUCUAACAAACCUAAAUGUGCAGUGUUUGACUACCUGAGAGCUGUCUAGAUUGAGCUGAAGGAAUUCAGAAAAGGGCAGUAUGAAUUCUUCAGCGUGGAGGCCGACUUUGUGGAGAGGAGGCAGGGCCUAUGUCGAUGCUGCUCGCUCUAUUUUCAGGGCUUGGCACCAUUCAUCCUCAAAAAGGCUACGGGUCCUCACUCAGAAUUAAAGAGGCUGUUCUGCAAAGCUGCCAUUCAUAGGGAGAACUGGCGAUGAAGUGUCUGUCAAAAGGACUGUUUUUACAAUUGGGACCUGCCUGUAGUGGUGAUGAGCCAUUUGUAAGAGAGGAUCAUGGAAUGAAUACGGGCAUUGAGUCAAGCAGUCUGUGUUCCACUGGCGGUGUGACCUGGGGCAGGCCAUUUCACCUCACUGAGCCUUAGUUUCCUCACCUGUAAAAUGUGAAAAAUAUCACCUUCCUUACCAGGCUUUUCUGAGGAUUUAAUGACAUCAUGUUCAGUGCCCAGUAUGGGUGGAUAAUACCCAGGAGUUUCCUCCUCUUCUCCUCCUAAGUUGACUUGAUGCCCCCCGCUGAAGAUCAUGGCUGAACUGGCUCAAUUCGGAUCCAGGACUCCUGGCUUUGUCUCUUCCCUAGUUGCCCACCACACCCAUGGACACCCUUAGGUAGUUUAUCCUUUUGGGACAACUGGAUUUAUUAGAAAAGGGUAUUCUGGGGUGGAAUAAGGCCCUUUUCAGUCCCCAUGGAGCCUUUUUGGAAGAUGAAGUUCUCAAACCCACAAGAGAAUUCAUAAGACGAGCACACCACCCACAGUUAGGUUUCCCUCUCAAGUGCUUUAUCUCCACGUGGGGCAAAUAGCUCUUUGUCUGCAUAUGUUAUUGGAGCUUUUGGAGUCCAGCCUUCAGAAGAGCUCUAAUUUUUGGAUUCAUAUCAGUUUAUUAGAGAAGCCUAGUUCUAAGGAUUAGCAAAUGGGUAGGUGCUCAGCCAGCCCAGAACAAGCAGAGCCAUGACAGAAGUUUCUGGAAUCUCACAGAGUCGGUGUCUUCAUGGACUCAGGGGGCCUAAAUCCAAUAGCCUGGAUUUGUCACUUUCCCUUAUUCCCUUAUCAAACUCUUCCCUUUUGGACAUCAGAGAAGGAAAGUACUUCCUGUAAGGGGGCAAUUUGCAAAGCUUCAUGGAAGUGGCAUUUGAGUGUGGCCUUAAAGGAUGUGUAGGAUUGGGAACCAUAGAUAUUUAGAGGAAGGCAUUCCUGGCAGAAGGAACAGCAGCAAAACACAGAAGUGGAAAUUAGUAGCAGCAUUAAUGGAGAAUAAUUUGGGGAAUAAGAUAUACAAAUGGAAUAAUAAAAAUAGCAUUAAUUAAACAUUGUGGGAGUCAUUCUGUAAGAUGGCCCCUGGUGAUCUCCGCCUCCUGUUCUUCAUGCCUUAUGUAACCGCUCUCCUUGAGUGUGGUCUGGAAUUACUGACUCACUUUCAAUGCACAGAAUGUAUCAGAAGUAAUGGGAUAUUCCUUCUGAGAAUAGAUUAUAAAAAAAGAGUGUGGCUUCCUUCCUGGCAUUUUCGCUUGCUCUCUCUUUAAUUGUGUGCUCCAAACAAAGCCAGCUGCCAUGUUGUGAGGAAGCCCUGUGUGGAGGACCACAUGGUGAGGA